AUGGCACCCCCGGCAGGAUCAACCAAGAUUCAUGUUGAUGGCGGAUGUCGCUCGUGGGGAGGCACGACAGCAGCAGUGUGUCGAGACAAUCAUGGUAACUACCUUGGUAGCUCUGCAAUUGUACUCCAUGGCAGCACAGACCCGGCCACACUUGAGACAAUUGCGUGCCGGGAAGCGCUAGCACUAGCGGAGGACCUGAAUAUCCAGCGGAUAAUCAUCUCAUCUGAUUCAAAGCAAGUAGUAGGCGAUAUAAAUUCUGAAAACCUGGUAAGAUAUGGUACGGUUAUCAAGGAGAUUCAUAGUAGAGCUCUUCAUUUUAUGUGUAAUUUCAUGUAUGAAAGCCGCAGAUGUAACAUUGAGGCUCAUAGUUUAGCAAAACAUGCAUUCUCUUCAGGCCCGGGAUGCCAUGUGUGGCUAGGCCAGUCCUACAGUCCAAUAUGUAUACCACAAACAUUGGCUUUUGAUCAUUAA
rnacentral:rRNA from 1 species